rnacentral:rRNA from 1 species
CAGCCGCCGCGGUAAUACGAAGGGGGCUAGCGUUGCUCGGAAUGACUGGGCGUAAAGGGCGCGUAGGCGGUUUAUACAGUCAGAUGUGAAAUUCUGGGCUCAACCUGGGGACUGCAUUUGAUACGUAUGGACUUGAGUGGAGAAGAGGGUCGUGGAAUUUCCAGUGUAGAGGUGAAAUUCGUAGAUAUUGGAAAGAACACCGGUGGCGAAGGCGGCGACCUGGUCUUUAACUGACGCUGAGGCGCGAAAGCGUGGGGAGCAAACAGGAUUAGAUACCCCUGUAGUCCCUGUCUCUUAUACA